AGCGGAGGAAAAGAAACUAACAAGGAUUCCCCUAGUAACUGCGAGUGAAGCGGGAAGAGCUCAAAUUUGAAAUCUGGCGGUUCCGCCGUCCGAGUUGUAAUCUGGAGAAGCGUUUUCCGUGCCGGACCGUGUACAAGUCCCUUGGAACAGGGCGUCAUAGAGGGUGAGAAUCCCGUCUUUGACACGGACUCCCGGUGCUCUGCGAUGCGCUCUCGAAGAGUCGAGUUGUUUGGGAAUGCAGCUCAAAAUGGGUGGUAAAUUCCAUCUAAAGCUAAAUAUUGGCGAGAGACCGAUAGCGAACAAGUACCGUGAGGGAAAGAUGAAAAGCACUUUGGAAAGAGAGUAAAACAGUACGUGAAAUUGUUGAAAGGGAAACGCUUGAAGUCAGUCGCGUCUUCUGGGACUCAGCCUUGCUCUGCUUGGUGCAUUUCCCAGUUUGACGGGUCAGCAUCGGCUCUGGGGGGCGGACAAAGGCGCGGGGAAGGUGGCAGCUCCGGCUGCGUUAUAGCCCCGCGUUACGCGUCCCCCGGGACCGAGGAAUCCGGCGCUCGCGCCUGGGAUGCUGGCGUAAUGGCUUUAAACGACCCGUCUU
rnacentral:rRNA from 1 species